UGGGGAAUAUUGCACAAUGGGCGCAAGCCUGAUGCAGCCAUGCCGCGUGUGUGAAGAAGGCCUUCGGGUUGUAAAGCACUUUCAGCGGGGAGGAAGGCGAUAAGGUUAAUAACCUUGUCGAUUGACGUUACCCGCAGAAGAAGCACCGGCUAACUCCGUGCCAGCAGCCGCGGUAAUACGGAGGGUGCAAGCGUUAAUCGGAAUUACUGGGCGUAAAGCGCACGCAGGCGGUCUGUCAAGUCGGAUGUGAAAUCCCCGGGCUUAACCUGGGAACUGCAUUCGAAAGUGGCAGGCUAGAGUCUUGUAGAGGGGGGUAGAAUUCCAGGUGUAGCGGUGAAAUGCGUAGAGAUCUGGAGGAAUACCGGUGGCGAAGGCGGCCCCCUGGACGAAGACUGACGCUCAGGUGCGAAAGCGUGGGGAGCAAACAGG
rnacentral:rRNA from 1 species